UUCUUCUUCUCUGUCCAAUUAUGUUGGAGAAGAUUCUCUUUUCUCCGCGUGUUCGUUUGUAAAGACGAAACUAAUUCAGCGCGGUCUCAAUUAAUCAAUUUAAUCACACACUGAAUAUUGCAUGACAGAGCUCCGGGUCAAACUCUCCCGAGCAUCAGACAGAGUGAGACUCAGACCUUUGUCUUAUACGAUUCAGUCACAUGACAGGUUGCACAAUAUGUCACACAAGCUGUUUCACAUCUUCCUCUGAUCUGUCCAUUUGUUUGUUUGUUCCUUUAUUCCUUUGAUCGUUUGUUUCUUCGUUGGAAUCUACGCCCCUUGAUCUUUACAGCCUGUCUUCCCCGCAUCCACAGUUCAUCCUGGUUAUCGAUUAUCAGCUUAUUGGUAGUCACACACUCAUCUGCUUCCUCCCAAAGACGGGACUCCUGUCCUGCAGAACAACAUCACUUAGAAGCACACAAAUCUUUAAGAAUCAACAUUAUAAUGGUAGCAUAUCGUGAAUAAACCCUCAAGAUUAAUUAUUCUUAUUCUUUAAACUUAAAUGAUUAUAUAUGUUUUGAGUAAUAUAUCAUUUACA